UCUCUGUUAGUAUAUCGGUUAGUACACGCGCCUGUCAAGAAUAGGAGCUGAUGUGCGCGCGAAAGCUGGGUUCGACUCCCAGACAGAGAG